AGCAGUCGCCGCGGUAAUACGGAGGAUCCAAGCGUUAUCCGGAAUCAUUGGGUUUAAAGGGUCCGUAGGCGGUCUUGUAAGUCAGUGGUGAAAGCCCAUCGCUCAACGGUGGAACGGCCAUUGAUACUGCAGGACUUGAAUUAUUGGGAAGUAACUAGAAUAUGUAGUGUAGCGGUGAAAUGCUUAGAGAUUACAUGGAAUACCAAUUGCGAAGGCAGGUUACUACCAAUUGAUUGACGCUGAUGGACGAAAGCGUGGGUAGCGAACAGGAUUAGAUACCCCUGUAGUCCCUGUCUCUUAUAA
rnacentral:rRNA from 1 species